GCAACAUCCAAGCCUACGCGCUGGUGUUC
rnacentral:sRNA from 1 species